GCUGAGAUAGCUCAGUUGGUAGAGCAUGAGGCUCUUAAUCUCAAGGCCUUGGGUUCGAGCUCCAUGUUAGGUG